rnacentral:tRNA from 1 species
GCCUUUUUAAUAUAAAAAGUAUAGUUGGCUUCCAACCAACCAGUCUAAAAUAUUUAGAAAAGGCA